CUGAGUUACUACUCUUAACCCUUUGUGAACUUUACUCAGUGUUGCUUCGGCAGGUUUUCCCUGGGAGGGAAUUCAGUCAGAAAUGAUAACCUGCCAGAGGCAUCCAAAUUCUAAAUUUCAAUAGACUUUUCUGAGUCUUUUUUCAAAAAAAAAUAA
rnacentral:misc_RNA from 1 species